rnacentral:lncRNA from 1 species
CCUCUAUAGGUGCCACUCUACAUAUACUUUUAACUUCUUCUAUGCUACACUGAUCAGACGAUAGCUAGCUUGGUCCCUUCAUUUACCUCUCUUGUCACACUUUAUCCUGCAAUUCAGCAGUAAACCUAUAAGUUCUGAUGAACUUAGUGAGAAUCUGCUAAACAAUAUUAUAUAGCCAAUUUGCAAGAGAACGAUAAUAAACAAGUUUUGGGCAAAUAUUUCAACUCCCUAUUUCCUCUUGGUAUAUUACAGAGCUUGCCCGAGAUGUUGCCUCUCUAUUUCUCUUAUAGCCUCUAACUGUCCCAACUCAAUAUUUUUAUAAGAACAAGUGCAUUCCUUCAUGAUAUUGAUCACAUGAUGGGGCGACCUAAUUCUGUCAUACUCCGACUUUACCUUCUUACCCAUUCUUGGUUAUUUAUGGCGAAUUGCUAUCUGCUAGGUAGUCAACGAGCUUAUUUCACCUAUUGCGGACCCUUAUUUACGAAUCCUCAUUGUUCGGGAUUCACUGGAUCACCUGUUGCCACUUGCUACUCUCAUAAUAUGUGUCGCCUUUCUGACGGACUUGGUUUAUGUACUGUUGGCCAUAAUUUGCAUCGUCUUUGGCGAAUUCCUUUAUUAAUCCAUAGAUCCACACCUUUCAGACGCACCUCGCUUAUGCAUACAUGCAAUUUAUUGUGUCAUUCACGUUGUUCUUUAGAUCUUAAUCCAUGAUCUACCUCUAAUAUAGAAAGCUUCCCCAUUGGGGUCCCACAUCUUACAUUCUUAGUAGAUCUUCCCGCAUUUGCUAUUCCGACGGGCCUUCUCACUUUCUUGAAUAAAUGUCUUGCAUUGCAACUCGAGAAAAUAUUUUUGGACAUUUGGGUUUUGAAAUUUCAAGGGAUCCAAAACCAAUAGUGCUUCUUGUUCAAUAGUUCUUCUAGACUUUUUAGAAGGCAUUUUUAAUGAUAUUUAAACUAGAAGACUUAAUCGAAAUCAAACAAUAUAUUUAGAUAAACAAAAGAAUAAUGUAAUAAAAUAGUUAAGAUAGGAAUCCUUAACCUCGGUUUGGAAGUUCGUGAUUCCUCACGAAGGUGUGUUGUAACUACCUUGUUGGUGUGACACUUUUGUCCUUGCACAAUAUAAGAAAAAAAAGAAGAAAAAGAAGAGUUUGAGAGGUUUUAGAAUUAGAGGGAAUUUAGAAAUAGGUUAAAAGUGUUUAAGUUUAAAAAAAUUAGUGUUUUUAAGCAAAAAAUUGGGUAAAAUAAGGGUUAAAACCAUUGGGUUGUGCGAUGGUUCGGGUCGACCUUGCAGAAAAUUGCAUCGAUGUCGCAACAUAAGGGUUCCAUGUCACGACACCUCUGGCAAGAUACCGAUGUCGCGACACGCCUUGAAUUUUUGAAUUCUAAGGUAAAUUGACUUCUUUGUCGAGACACGGAGGGGUUGUGUCACGUAUCGAGCUGAAUUGCUCGAUUUUAUGAACCUGUGUUUGGUGUUGCAACACGGAGGUUCCGUGUUGUGACACCGACUUUGUUUUGGCCCCUCCUCUUAAAUUUCAAAGUGCUUGGAAUAAAUGUUUAAACAAUUGUAGUGCCAAUAUGCUUAGACCCAACAACAUUAAGAAGAAGAUAGUCACUGUUGCAUUCAACAUUAGUCUCAAUCUUUUGAGAAAGAAAAAUAAUAAAAGGAGGAACAUGC